CACGUAGGGUGCGAGCGUUGUCCGGAAUUAUUGGGCGUAAAGAGCUCGUAGGCGGUGUGUCACGUCGAUCGUGAAAACUUUCAGCUUAACUGGGAGCUUGCGGUCGAUACGGGCAUCACUGGAGUUCGGCAGGGGAGACUGGAAUUCAAGGUGUAGCGGUGAAAUGCGCAGAUAUCUUGAGGAACACCGGUGGCGAAGGCGGGUCUCUGGGCCGAUACUGACGCUGAGGAGCGAAAGCGUGGGGAGCGAACAGG
rnacentral:rRNA from 1 species